rnacentral:rRNA from 1 species
UACGGAGGGUGCAAGCGUUGUCCGGAUUUAUUGGGUUUAAAGGGUGCGUAGGCGGCCCGUUAAGUCAGUGGUGAAAGCCUCCAGCUCAACUGGAGAACUGCCAUUGAUACUGGCGGGCUUGAGUACAGACGAGGUAGGCGGAAUUGAUUGUGUAGCGGUGAAAUGCAUAGAUACAAUCAAGAACACCGAUUGCGUAGGCAGCUUACUAGGCUGUAACUGACGCUGAGGCACGAAAGCGUGGGGAGCGAACAGGA